rnacentral:rRNA from 1 species
UACGAAGGGGGCUAGCGUUGUUCGGAUUUACUGGGCGUAAAGGGUGCGUAGGUGGCCGGUUAAGUCUGACGUGAAAUCUCCGAGCCUAACUCGGAAACUGCAUCGGAAACUAUCCGGCUCGAGGGUUGGAGGGGGGACUGGAAUACUUGGUGUAGCAGUGAAAUGCGUAGAUAUCAAGUGGAACACCAGUGGCGAAGGCGAGUCCCUGGACAAUACCUGACACUGAGGCACGAAAGCUAGGGGAGCAAACAGG